CAGUAGCCGCGGUAAUACGAAGGGUGCAAGCGUUAAUCGGAAUUACUGGGCGUAAAGCGUGCGUAGGCGGUGAGUUAAGUCUGCUGUGAAAUCCCCGGGCUCAACCUGGGAAUGGCAGUGGAUACUGGCUCGCUAGAGUGUGUCAGAGGAUGGUGGAAUUCCCGGUGUAGCGGUGAAAUGCGUAGAGAUCGGAAGGAACAUCUGUGGCGAAGGCGACUAUCUGGGCCAACACUGACACUGAGGCACGAAAGCGUGGGGAGCAAACAGGAUUAGAUACCCCAGUAGUCCCUGUCUCUUAUAC
rnacentral:rRNA from 1 species